UAAGGAAUAUUGGACAAUGGAGGCAACUCUGAUCCAGCCAUGCCGCGUGAAGGAAUAAGGCCCUAUGGGUUGUAAACUUCUUUUAGACGGGACAAAACCCCUUUACGUGUAAAGGGUUGAUGGUACUGUCAGAAUAAGCAUCGGCUAACUUCGUGCCAGCAGCCGCGGUAAUACGAAGGAUGCAAGCGUUAUCCGGAAUUAUUGGGUUUAAAGGGUGCGUAGGCGGACUAAUAAGUCAGUGGUGAAAGCCUGCAGCUUAACUGCAGAAUUGCCAUUGAUACUGUUAGUCUUGAGUACAGUUGAGGUAGGCGGAAUGUGUCAUGUAGCGGCGAAAUGCUUAGAUAUGACACAGAACACCUAUUGCGAAGGCAGCUUACUACACAAUCAUUGACGCUGAGGCACGAAAGCGUGGGGAUCAAACA
rnacentral:rRNA from 1 species